UACAGAGGCCUCAAGCGUUGUUCGGAAUCACUGGGCGUAAAGGGUGUGUAGGCUGCACGAAAAGUCGGAUGUGAAAUCCGGGGGCUCAACCCCCGAAUUGCAUUCGAUACUGUCGAGCUAGAGUGCUGAAAAGGAGUCUGGAAUUCUCGGUGUAGCAGUGAAAUGCGUAGAUAUCGAGAGGAACACUAGUUGCGAAGGCGAGACUCUGGUCAGCAACUGACGCUGAGACACGAAGGCUAGGGUAGCAAACGGG
rnacentral:rRNA from 1 species